rnacentral:rRNA from 1 species
CUAUUAUUCCCAUUCUACACCUGUGACCGUUUGAUUGAAUCUUCUGAUUCAAUUUUACAAACAUUGUGUAAUGAACGUCAUUAGAUCAUAACAAAAAAAAACUUUUAACAACGGAUCUCUUGGCUCUCGCAUCGAUGAAGAACGCAGCGAAAUGCGAUAAGUAAUGUGAAUUGCAGAAUUCAGUGAAUCAUCGAAUCUUUGAACGCAACUUGCGCUCUCUGGUAUUCCGGAGAGCAUGCCUGUUUGAGUGUCAUGAAAUCUCAACCAUUAGGGUUUCUUAAUGGCUUGGAUUUGGAGGUUGCCAUUCUGAAUGGCUCCUCUUAAAGGAGUUAGCAAGUUUAACUAUUGCUAUCUGGCGUAAUAAGUUUCGCUGGAAUGGUAUUGUGAAGCGUGCUUCUAAUCGUCUUCGGACAAUUACUUUGACUCUGGCCUCAAAUCAGGUAGGACUACCCGCUGAACUUAAGCAUAUCAAUAAGCGGAGGAAAAGAAACUAACAAGGAUUCCCCUAGUAACGGCGAGUGAACCGGGAAGAGCUCAAAUUUGUAAUCUGGCUGUCUUCGAUAGUCCGAGUUGUAAUCUAUAGAAGCGUUUUCCGUGCUGAACUGUGUAUAAGUCCCUUGGAACAGGGUAUCAAAGAGGGUGACAAUCCCGUACUUUACACAAUCAUCAGUGCUCUGUGAUACGUUCUCUACGAGUCGAGUUGUUUGGGAAUGCAGCUCAAAAUGGGUGGUAAAUUCCAUCUA